AUUUAAUUACACUUCAGCACAUAUCAUCCGUACACAAUGGACCUGAAAAUUCACAUUCCUUAGGCCGGAUUAAAGUAUUACUGCUGAAACGGAGAGUCUGAUGCCUGCAUCCCCUGAUUCCAUCCUGGACCAUGCCAUUUUAGCAAUUCAAGCAACGGCACUCACAGUUUGAACAUCGGAAAUUGCUGUUGUCACAGGGUGCGGCCCACUUAUUUCUCCAGGACACAAGGAAGAGAAAUCCCCGUGAGCUUGUGAACACCGAAUUCUUGAUCCCACGUGAAAGUGGGAAGUGAAGAGCUCAGCGCCUUUUCCGUUGCAUCUCUGCAUCCCUCGUUGUUAUAAAGUUGUUCUCUUUUUAAAAAGGAAUAUUGAGGCCUAAAUGAGCAGGAGUAUUCAUUUUGGGAUGGGGAAAGUUAGGUUUUAGCAAUAAACCAUGGAAAUAUAUUUCAUGCCACUCUAAAUUGUUGUGUUUUUAAUUGAUCUGUGUGUUUUUUAACUAAGUUGUUUUUUUGGAAACUGUUUUUUUAUUGUUAGUCAUCUUGAGUGUCAUUUUUUGGCGAAAGGGUGGGAUAUAAAUGUAAUAAAACUGUAUUAAUAAUAAUAUAGGAUCUAUGUCUGUUCAUCGGUCAAUGCCAUAAC